rnacentral:rRNA from 1 species
UACGAAGGGGGCUAGCGUUGCUCGGAAUCACUGGGCGUAAAGGGCGCGUAGGCGGACUCUUAAGUCGGGGGUGAAAGCCCAGGGCUCAACCCUGGAAUUGCCUUCGAUACUGAGAGUCUUGAGUUCGGAAGAGGUUGGUGGAACUGCGAGUGUAGAGGUGAAAUUCGUAGAUAUUCGGAAGAACACCAGUGGCGAAGGCGGCUCACUGGCCCGGUACUGACGCUGAGGUGGCGAAAGCGUGGGGAGCAAACAGGG